AGUUCGAUCAUGGCUCAGAUUGAACGCUGGCGGGAUGCUUUACACAUGCAAGUCGAACGGCAGCACACGGACUUCGGUCUGGUGGCGAGUGGCGAACGGGUGAGUAAUGUAUCGGAACGUACCUCUAGUAAGGGGGAUAACUACGCGAAAGGUAGCUAAUACCGCAUACGCCCUUCGGGGGAAAGCGGGGACCUUUCGGGCCUCUGCACUAUUAGAGCGGCCGAUAUCGGAUUAGCUAGUUGGUGGGGUAACGGCUCACCAAGGCGACGAUCCGUAGCUGGUUUGAGAGGACGACCAGCCACACUGGGACUGAGACACGGCCCAGACUCCUACGUGGAAGGCAGCAGUGGGGAAUUUUGGACAAUGGGAAACCCUCGAUCCAGCCAUCCCGCGUGUGCGAUGAAGGCCUUCGGGGUUGUAAAGCACUUUUGGCAGGAAAGAAACGGCACGGGAUAAUACCCCGUGCAACUGACGGUACCGAGAAUAAGCACCGGCUAACUACAUGCCAGCAGCCGCGGUAAUACGGGGUGCAAGCGUUAAUCGGAAUUACUGGGCGUAAAGCGUGCGCAGGCGGUUCGGAAAGAAAGAUGUGAAAUCCCAGAGCUUAACUUUGGAACUGCAUUUUUAACUACCGAGCUAGAGUGUGUCAGAGGGGAGGUGGAAUUCCGCGUGUAGUGCAGUGAAAUGCGUAGAUAUGCGGAGGAACACCGAUGGCGAAGGCAGCCUCCUGGGAUAACACUGACGCUCAUGCACGAAAGCGUGGGGAGCAAACAGGAUUAGAUACCCUGGUAGUCCACGCCCUAAACGAUGUCAACUAGCUGUUGGGGCCUUCGGGCCUUGGUAGCGCAGCUAACGCGGUGAAGUUGACCGCCUGGGGAGUACGGUCGCAAGAUUAAAACUCAAAGGAAUUGACGGGGACCCACACAAGCGGUGGAUGAUGUGGAUUAAUUCGAUGCAACGCGAAAACCUUACCUACCCUUGACAUGUCUGGAAUCCCGAAGAGAUUUGGGAGUGCUCGCAAGAGAACCGGAACACAGGUGCUGCAUGGCUGUCGUCAGCUCGUGUCGUGAGAUGUUGGGUUAAGUCCCGCAACGAGCGCAACCCUUGUCAUUAGUUGCUACGAAAGGGCACCUAAUGAGACUACCGGUGACAAACCGGAGGGGAAGGUGGGGAUGACGUCAAGUCCUCAUGGCCCUUAUGGGUAGGGCUUCACACGUCAUACAAUGGUCGGGACAGAGGGUCGCCAACCCGCGAGGGGGAGCCAAUCCCAGAAACCCGAUCGUAGUCCGGAUCGCAGUCUGCAACUCGACUGCGUGAAGUCGGAAUCGCUAGUAAUCGCGGAUCAGCAUGUCGCGGUGAAUACGUUCCCGGGUCUUGUACACACUGCCCGUCACACCAUGGGAGUGGGUUUUACCAGAAGUGGCGGCCUAACUGUAAGGAGGGCGAUUACCACGGUAGGAUUCAUGACUGGGGUGAAGUCGUACGAAGGUAGCUCUGCUACUACCUGAU
rnacentral:rRNA from 1 species